CCAUUCAUCUUUUGAUAGACAUUUAGAUGGUUUCCAUGUCUUGGCUAUUGUGAAUAGUGCUGUAAUGAACAUAGAGGUACAUAUAUCUUUUUAGAUUACAGUUUUGUCUGGAUAUAUGCCCUCUACUUAUAAUUGAUGAAGUGUAUGUGCUAGUUCCCUCUAUUGACACAACUCCUGUUUUUGACCCUGUGUUCUGUAUGCAAUAACCGUCAUCCCUGACUGAAUUUGCCCAACCUCUGGUUUUGGCUUCUCUGACCCACUUUGACCAUUUGCUACCUAAAGCCCAACUUCACUAGAGCCUAAUGUGCUGGCUCAUUUGCCUACUAGCUCUCAAAUCCAUUUACUCCUUGCCGUUCUCUUGUUCUAUCUGUGUGGAAAGAAGCUGAUUCCUGCCAACUCCAUUUCCUAGACUCACUUGCUCAUGCCAAAAAGGAGCUAGGACAGGGAAAGAUAAAAAGAUAAAUUAGGAACACUGGCAGAAGAAGAGGAGAAGCCAAGGAGUUUCUCCUCUGAUUCAGAGAACUUCUCCCACAGUGACUGCUUCUCCUCUGUGAUUCACAUUCUAGGUCCAGCCAGGAACAGUGGCUCCAGGGCUUUGUUAACUCAACCCCUCUGCUGAUCUCUCCAAUCCUGGGGAUGGAUGGCAGAGGUUUUCUGCUGUUGCUCCUCACUGGUUGCUCCUCCUUCCCCAGUUUGGCUUUCCAGCCCACCCAACACUUUUGUCACCAGUUCCUCGUGUUGUAUUCCCUCAGCUGAACUGCCUCACUUGGGCCCUGAUUUUGGACUGGUCUCCAAAGGCAGGGCCUGGCAAGUUUUUAGGCAAAGAACCAAAUGAUUGUCAUCAUCACAGAAAAACUUGUGAAGGUAUUUCAAGGCUCGCAUCCCAGAACUCCCAGCAGAGUUAUAAAAUAAUGAAUGAAUGGGCUGUUGGAAAUAUGUAAUACAGUAGAAACACAGUCAUUUAAUUUUUUUAAAAGGGACUUUCAUUUAGUUCUUCUCUUCAUUCAUUAGUCAUCUCCCAUCAGUAGGGAAGCCAUAGGGAAUGGAGCAGAGUGAACAAAGAAUCCUGCCCAUACUGAGUCCAAAAUAGUUCCAAGCAGAUUUGCCUACACAAAAGAAAAAUGUAAUCAGCACCCAGCAUAGGUAACAGAAUACAUUUAACUCUGCUAACAUUAAAUAACAUCUGCUCUCCCCACAGAAACUCUCUCCCUGCAUUAAUUUAAUCUUUCCACAACACAAAAGCAGUCACACUUAUUGCAUAGAAGAGUCUAGCACAGUUGUUAGUGGCUGAGAUGGUCACUCCUAGUUACCCAUCCUUGAAGAUAGAUUUCAGAAUCAAGAGUUUUGUACUCUGGGAAAGGUCACAGCUACAGUUUCAGGACCUUGGGUGAGAUUCAGUUUAUUAUGUCUACCUUCUAAGUAAAUUAUUUUCCAGUUUUGUUGGAAUAGAGCAGAAGUAGAAGUCACAAGGGGGACUAGUUUCAUUCUUCAGCCAGUGAUAGGCAUGUGUUAGAUUCCUAGCACCACUGUAAUAGAGGACCAAAGGACUAGGGGGCUUAUAACAGAAAUGGUCUCCCAGAGUUCCCCUUGUGGCACAGUGGAAACGAACCUGACUAAUAACUAUAAGGCUGUGGGUUUGAUCCCUGGCCUCACCAGUGGUUUAAGGAUCUGGCAUUCCUAUGAGCUGUGGUGUAGAUCACAGACUUAGCUCAGAUCCCACAUUGCUAUAACUGUGGCAUAGGCUGUCAGCUGUAGCUCCUAUUGAUUCCCUAGCCUGGGAAUUUACAUAUGCUGAGGGUGCAGCCCUAAAAAGAAAAAAAGAAAUGGUUUCCCAGUUCUGGAGACUAGAAGUCCGAGAUCAAGGUACUGGCCAGUCUGCUUCCUGCUGAGACUGUGAGGGGAGGAGCCAUUCCAGGCCCCUCUCCUAGUUUCCUGUGACUUGUUAUUAAUCUCUGUUCCUUGGUUUUCAGAAGCAGCAUCUUCCUCACUGUCUUCAUCUUCACAGUCAAACAUUGACCAUGUGGUGGUAUUUAAGGUUGCAUAUGUAUAUAAAGAAAACUAAGCACUUCUUGUACAUUUACUUUUAUGGCCUGAAAUGGUAUCUGCUACUCGGAGGGAAAAGGAGAUCUGGGUUAAAGUCAGGAGUCUCUCUUGCAGGCUGUGUGCACCACUGGGCAAUGACUCAGCCUUUGUGAACCUUGAGUUCCUCAUCAUUAAAAUGGGUAUGUUAAUAUUAGAUUUAACAUAUGAAACAACACUUUUGUAGGUCAAAAAUUGUUGAGUAUCAGCUAUUUCAUAUGAUUCAACUUAAUACCUACUUCACAGAUAUAGGAAAAAACUAAAUAAGAUAAUAUUGUAGCACUGUCCCUGGUGUUUGGUAAAUCAUAAGUACAUGAUUUAUUAAAAUGUAUAUAAAUAAAACCCUAUGGCCUAAUGGUCGUAGUACAACCUAAGCUUAAAAUAUCUGCCCUCUCUGCCAUACAGAACAUGAAUUGCCUAUCAGGAGUCUUCUUUUUUCCUUCCUUCUUUCUUUUCUCCUUCUUUCUUCUUCUUCUCAAAAUUUAAUUUUUAUUCUCUUUCUUCUAUUUCUUUUUAAUGUUUUUUUUUUAAAUAGCUAAUAUGCUUUCAUGGUUCAAAACUCAAAAAGUGUGUAAAAGAAAACCUCUCCCAUAGCAUCACUGUCCUUUAUCUGUCCAGAGUAUUAUGUCUUAUCUAUUUUCCUGAUAUUAAGCACAUUCAAAUGUGUAUACUGUGUGAGUUCUAAAAAUAGCUUUAAAAUAUCUGUAUUUAUAUGAAUAUGAUAUAUGCAUAUUUGUAGUCUAAGACUCUCAGUUUAUGAACAAAUAGCUGAGGCCCACAGAAAUGCAGCCCCUUUGCCUGGAGUCAUUCAGAAUCAGUAAGACUUGCAUAUUAAUUAUACUUAUCUGGCACUCUAUGAGACCUCACAUUACAAAUAUUCACUUUAAAUGUAAAUAAUCUAUUUUUUUAGGCAAAUAAAAUCUUAUUUAUUUAUUUAUUUAUUUAUUGGCAAUGGAAGUCAGGUCAAAGUGCCUCAUUAUUCAAGCUUCGUAUUUGUGAAUUCUCCUACCUGCUAAUGAUUUACUUAUCAUCCCCAAAUAGAUAUCCAUGACAUUUUCCUAGUCAUUCCCAGAUAUGAGUAGAGGGACAAAAAAAUUUGAGUUGCUGAUUGUACACGUUCCCAGGUGAGGUCAAACAAGAUGACACUUGGCCUUCUUAUUUCAGGUCUCAUGCUAUGAACAAGAGUCCUUUUUGUGAUCUAUUUAAUGCUACAUGUUUCACAUUUCUGUGCUUUUAAUGGGUGAUUUUUGCUAUUUAAAAUGGCCCCUGUGAGUUCCCAUUGUGGCUCAGCAGUAACAAAUCCAAAUGGUAUCUAUGAGGACUUGGGUUCAGUCCCUGGCCCCACUCAAUGGGUUAAGGAUCAGGUAUUGAUAUAAGCUGUGGUGUAGGUAGCAGAUGCGGCUUGGAUUCCAUGUUACUGAGGCAGCUCCGACAGACCGCUAACAUGGGAACUUCCAUAUGCCGCAGGAGUGGCCCUAAAAAAACCAAAAAAAAUAAAAGCAAUUUAAAAAUGCCCCUCAAAGAUAGUGCUGAAGUGAUAUCUACCACUCCUAAGAAUAAGAGGGCUGUGAUAUGCCUUAAGGACAAAAUACAGUGUUAGAGAAGCUUCUCUCAGGCAUAAAUUAUAGUGUUGUGGGCUGUGAGUUCAAUGUUAGUCAAUGAUAUACACUGAAUAAUAUGUCUUUAGGAGUUCUCUUAUGGUGUGGUGGGUUAAGGAUCCUGCAUUGUCACUACAGUGGCUUGGGUUGCUGCUGUGGCAUGAACCCCUGGCCCGGGAACUUCCACAUGCCAUGGAUGUGAGCUUCUCCUCCCCGCCUCCAAAAGAAGAACACAUUGAAUAAUGUGUCUUUAAUCAGAAACACACAUGACACAAGAUUAUGGGUUCAGUUGAUAAAAAUUUUGUGACCUGAGGCUCAUAGGAACCUAACCCUGUAUUUCCCCUAGGAAUAGUGGUUCAGUAUUCACUAAUUCAGUGUUUGUAGCAACUUUAUAGAGUAUAACUACUACUAAUAAUGAGAAUUGAUGGUAUUUUAGAGUACAACACAUAGAAGUCAAGUUUUCCUCUCUUAGUGUCAGUCUGAUUUAAGUGUUUCUUUAAAAUUGUAGCUAUUGGAGUUCCCAUCGUGGCACAGUGGUUAACGAAUCUGACUAGGAACCAUGAGGUUGCGGGUUUGAUCCCUGGCCUUGCUCAAUCGGUUAAGGAUCUGGCGUUGCUGUGAGCUGUGGUGUAGGUCACAGACGCAGCUCGGAUCCCAUGUUGCUGUGGCUCUGGUGUAGGCCAGCAGCUACAGCUUUGAUUAGAUCCCUAGCCUGGGAACCUCCAUAUGCAGCAGGAGUGGCCCUAGAAAAGGCAAAAAGACAAAAAUCAAAAAAUAAAUAAAAAAUAAAAUGAUAGCUAUGUUACCAUAGCCCACAUUCUUUUUUUUUUUUUGGCCUUUUAGGGACGUACCUGUGUACCUGCAGCAUAUGGAGGUCCCCAGGCUAGGGGUUGAAUCGGAAGCUAUAGCCACUGACCUACACCACAGCCAUAGCAAUGCCAGAUCCAAGCCAUGUCUGCAACCUACAGCAUAGGUCACAGCAAUGCCAGAUCCUUAACCCGGUGAGUAAGGCCAGGGAUCGAACCUGCGUCCUCAUGGAUACUAGUCAGAUUUGUUUCUGCUGAGGCAUGAUAGGAACUCCAGCUUUCUUGAGUUUAAAAAAAUAAAUCCUUUACUGACUGCAAAAAUGGCUCCUAAAUGCAGUUUUGGAGGGGAUUGGCUUUAAAGCCAUUGUUGGUUUGAGUGGUUCAAAUAUCUUGCUAAUUUCAUAGGCUUUGAACCAAUUAUGAAGUAGAUAGUGUGGCAGUAGCUAUCAAGUUUGCAGUUUGUUUAGGAGUGUUUGUAUUUCUUUUUGGUGUUGAAGAAAUUUACAGUAAUCAUCAGUAGGGAAUUAUGAGUGCACAUCAUUGCAUUAAAACAUGGAAUUCAGCCCUACAUUGCCAUUAAUAGAAAAUGCAGUUUUUAUGUUAAUUAUAAUAAAAAGCAAGUGUUACUGAGCAAGUUUUUACUGAUUAUCCUAUGUAUUGCUAUGAUUACAGUUCCUAACAAAUAUGUUAUAUGUUAUUGAGGAAGUGGUAUAAUUCCUUGUGAUUUACUAAAAUGUAGAUACUUCCUAAAGGGACAACAUAGUAAAUUUUAUCCAUUUCUUACUGUUACUUUAUAUCAUUUUGGACCAUUGUACUUUAUAAAUAAACAUAGACAAUUUUGGUCAGUUAUACCUUACUGUGAAUGAGAUUACCAGAUGUUUUCAUGACCACAGAUUCCACCAGAAGGUAUCAGAGGCAAGAAAUGGGUUGGUGGGAGUUCAAAAGCACAUAGUGAGCUAAUCUGUGUAAACGGGCUUUUGUGGGUUGAAUUGUGUCCUUCUCAAAAAGAUAUGUUUGGAGUUCCCAUUGCGGCUCAGCAGGUUAAGAACCCACCAAGCAUUCAUGAGGAUGCAGGUUUGAUUCCUGGCUUCGCUCAUUGCAUUGAAGGAUCUGGCAUUGCUUUGAGGUGUGGUAUAGGUCGCAGAUGCAGGUCAGAUCUGGCGUUGCUGUGGCUGUGGUGUAGGCCAGCACCUGCAACUCCAAUUCAACUUUUAGCCUGGGAACUUCCAUAUGCUGUGGGUGUGGCCCUAAAAAGAAAAAAAGUUAAAAUGAGACCCUUAGCACAGGCACUAAUCUGGUAUGUCUGGUGUUCCUGCUGAGCCACAAUGGGAACUCCCUGCUAUUCUUAUUAAAAGGGAAAAUUUGGAUACAGAGAGAGGCACACACACAGGGAGAACAAAGAUUUUUCUCUUCCCACUACGUCCCUAGAAUUAUGCCCUGGAGGUACCUUGGGCCCAGCUACCCCAGUUCUCUCCCAGACAUGCCUUCUGCUUCUGCUUCUGCUUCUUGCUGGCAGGGGAUGAGAACUCUGGGAUCUCAUUGCCUUACCCUCAGCUUGUGGGACUCACCAUCCCCUGUGCUCUCUGGCAAGAUGUAUACCUCACAGACCAGACCACUGUCUCUGAAACCCUGAAGUCUGCUCACUGCUAGCUUCCUCACUGGCUCUCCUGGAUCCAGACCCUUCCUAGUCGCAGGAAACAGAAGAGUCUGACUCUAACAUUCUGUACACUAUCCGAGUCUUGAGUCUUUUCCAGGCAUUGGCUUUGACAUUUCAAAAGCUUAAUCUUUUGCCUUCAGUAGACUUUUCUCUUAAACUCUCCCCUGCUUACAGUUUUGAAGUCUCUUUUGAAAUGUAAAAAUAUCAGGAAUCAAUUCUGUGCUUUCUUUCAUUUUUUUUCCUUGAGUAAUAAAAGCGAAAUAAUUAGUAGCCUAAAGGGAAAGGGUAUGGGGAGGGGUAGAGAUAACAGGAAAGAAUAGAUAGGAAAGAGGGGGUAUCAGUUAAUGUUCAAAAUACUGUCCUGCCACAUAUGUUUAUUGUUCUUUUCUCACCACAACUUCACAGUGGAUUUGCUGAGAUCCCACUCUUUUUGAAGGAAACUACUCUGGACCAAUGGAAAUGGUUAAACCAUAGGAUUAUAUUACUUUUCGUUUGUGGGCACAUCCAGGUGGAAAUAAGUACUUGCAUUCUUAUCAGCAGAAGGAAAAUUUUUAGCAUAUAGGAAGAACUAUUGUCAGCAUCUGUGGAAAAAGCCUUAGCUUUACUCCCCCAUGGAAGAAAGCAAACGAAAGCCGCCCCAUGAAUUUAACUUGAUAGAUGUUGAUUCUCUGCCUGAAGAAGAGAACCAAGCUGGGAAAGCUGGACUGGAAAGUAGGAAGAGUUUGCUUCCAUAAGACCAAUGGUCUGUCUGUGACAGACAGUGGCUCAGUUUUGACAAGCAUGUAGAGAGUACAUACAUUGGCCGAAUCCUGCAUUGGAGGUCAGAGAUAUAAAGGUAAGUCAACACAGUUCUUAUCCUAGGCCUUCAAUGACUACUUGGAAGGAAAGAUGAAGCCCACAGUGCAACCUGUCAUGAUUGUGAGUAAUGCCAGAAAAGACUCAAAAUGAAAAACGCUCUGAAGUCCUAGAGGGGAAGUAGUCAGCUGGGGCUGGGGGUGGCUAAGAGAAGGCUUCUCACAAGGAAUAAUACUGAUGCUAAUUAGAACCUCCAUGUUGGUUCUAGCCAACAGUUAUUUUGUGAAAAUGAAAUAAAUUUGAGACUUUAUUGACAUUGCUGGUCUGCCCUAAUUCUUUUAUUUAUUUUUUUCUUAAUGAUCAAUUUACUCGUAAGUUUCCAUUUAAAAAAUGUAUAUAUAGAAGAGUUCCUGCUUUGGCACAGUGGGUUAAGAUUCUGACUAGAGCAGCUCAGGUCGCUAUUGAGGCACAGGUUUGAUCCCUGGCCUGGCACGGUGGGUUAAAGAAUCCAGCAUUGCCACAGCUGUGGUAUAGGUUGCAGCUGCUGCUCAGAUUCAGUCCCAUAAAUCCUGUGCUUUCUUUUGUGACUCUUUUUCCUGCUUCUCUCACACAUGUUCAAGUGUUAAAAUAUGCUUGAAGCUAUACUUCUACAGAGUAGACAUAAACGAUGAUUUCUUCUAAAUAAGCUGAAACUGGAGUCUAUGCAUUAUAUAUACAUCUCUUUGACAUUAAUCCUCAAAAUACCUUCCUUUCUUCCUUUCAAAGACUUCCAUUUUUGUUUUCUGCUCUGCAUUUUCUUCUCCACACUUUUCCUAUAGUUUGCCAGUAUCCUGCGGCCUGUGAUCCAGCAGCAUGCCCCAGGAUUCCUGAAAAGAAACACUUGGAGAAGCCCAGUACUGUGGUCUUGGUAUGCAGCCCCUCUUGUUGCUUUAAAAGUUCCAUGCAGUUCUGCACUUCCAAAUAUGUUUGCGCAUUGGAGCGUGCUUCUGUCUUUACUGUGAGGAGAUGCUCUGAGCCCUGCACUGCUCUCUUGAUAGCCCCUAAGAGUGUUUUCUGUUGUUAAAAUAUUUGCUGGAGCUUUCAGCUUCAACCUGUCUGCAGCCAUCUCUCCUUGAGCCAUCUGAGUCAAAUUGAUCCAAGGAGAAGGGAUUUGUCCUGGUCACAUUUUAAUAGGGAGAGAGCUUGAAGUAGUGUAACCUGGUAAAAAGAUCCCUUAACCCAAAACUCUGCUUUAUGUGUAGUUCCUAUAAGAGGCCGCCCUAGCCGCUAUUGCUUUUUCACCACUCUAGAUCCACUGGCAAGAGGGGCAGCCUUGGCUGAAGCUUACCUCACAUCCCUCUAUUAUGUAGGCCACAAAAGCACUUUCAAACUAUAAUGCAUUAUACAUUAUAUGUUAUUAUACAUUGUGUAUUAUUAUACAUUAUUGUUGCAAUUAUGUUAGAAAGAGAUACCCGUUAAAGAUCAAAGUCUGUAUGUAUAGAUCACACCCAUCUCUUGGACCUUUAUCACCAUUUAUGUAAACUACUUUGAGACUAAGUUUGUUCCUUGCGGUCAUUAAGAGUCACCCAUAUGACUGCAGAAGAGUCCAAAAGAGACUUCGACUUUGCAGGAAUAUUCCUAUUUUUUAAAAAAUAUGAUGAACAUUGAUUAAUGCUGGGUACCUGUGUAUUUUUAUUUUCAUCUAUGGUUUUUACUGCAUUUGUGUCUUCAAAUUAAAAAAAAAAAUUAACCCCCCUCUCUGCCCCCAAAGCAGAACUGCAUACCUGCUAUAACAUACUAAUAUAUAGGAACAAGAACCCAAUUCUGCUAAAUCAACUGGCUCCUAAAGAUUUUAUGACUUGGAAUAACUGAAUCUCACUGUCUCGUCCCAACAUGACCCCAAAGAGAAUGACUUGACGGGUUAAAUGUAUGUUUGGGCUCUAAAGUUGUACAGAUCUAGAUUCAGAACAAGGUUUGCCACAGAAUCACUGUGUGACUUUGGACAGGGGAAAAGUAAAUCUAAGUAGAUGUUCUCAUGUUUCCCCACUUCACGCUAGUACACUACCUCAGUGUGCUGUGCUAGGGGAGAAUCUGCCUGGACUGCGCACUGGAGGAGUUUAAGGUCUUGGAGCCUACGUCAGGUGGAACAUGCCCAACUUACUGGUCACCAUUAUAAUCUCACCAGGAUACCAUAUGGUAUUACCUAUCCAAAAAAAAAGAAAAGAAUUAAAGAAUAAAGGCAAUGCAAAACGUUGGAGAGCCAAUCUGAAAUCAAUUGACAGGCAUGAACAUUUGUUAAUAACAUGAGUAUAAGCAGAUGGAGAAGGAAUUGUACUGAACAUUCUCCAAAUAUAGAAACAAUCUACUGGAGAAAGUCAGACAAACAUGGUGUGUCCAAAAAUCUGUUUCCGUCUUAAAGCUUGAGUCUUUAUGGAGUAAGAAUUUUCAAAUGACCCCUUGCUUAUUCUUUUUUUUUUCUUUUUUGCAAAACUAAGGUAAAGGCGUUAAUGUUACAGUGUAUGAAUUAAACUUCAAUUUUAAAAUAGAAUGAAUUUUUGAGAAAUUAAUGGCGAUGACACAUUCAUACCAUGGGAUACUACUCAGCAAGAGAAAAAAACGGAAGUAUUGAUACACAAGUUGGAUGAAUCAUUAAGACAUUGUGCUAAUUGAAAAAAGCUGAUGUCAAGAGGUUACAUGCUGCUUCACCCCAGAUAGCCCUAGAAAAAGCCACAGGUUCUACAGCAAAAUAAACUGAUGGUUCCAAUUAUCCUUCCACUGAGGAAGAAACAACCCUGAGGAGAAGGCUAUAUAAAGCACUUCCUGGUUUAAAGGGGUCAACGUCUUGGACUUGAAUCCCAACUCUGAAAUGUAUCAGCUGUGCAACCUUCAUCUGCUUCAACUGAUCCUAAGACAUCACUUGGAUAAACUGCACAGAAGCCAAGGAACUGCCAGGUCUUAGACUAUGCUCCAUCUCAUCAAAGAGACUUCUGGUGUGUUUAACAAAAAGGAAAAACAGUGAAAAGAGGAGGUAACCCCAUUCUAUUUCUCUCUCGGUGACAAAUUGCUGGGAUCUACAAUUAUUUGAAGAUUCUAAAGAUAGAGCACUGAUGACCCAAAAGCUCUUCUCAAAUUUCAUUUAUUCUAAUAGCUUCUGAAAAACCACUCCCAGGAGUAUUAACUCUUAUUGUAAAGGUAGGAAGUUUAUGCAAUUUAUAGUAGUGCAUUGUAUUUUGUCACAUUGACUUUAUCUCACAAGAGCCUGUUUGUGUCUACUCUGCUUUGGUCAUGAGAAAUGCAUUAUCCAAUUACUUAUGUAGUCUCUUUGCUACUAUGGAAAUAGGCAAUUCAAUUCAUUGGUUAAGUCGCUAAAACGGAUGUCAUUGGAUCUCUGUUAAGUCUGACUAAGAUGCAUAACUCUGAAUAAUGCUUUGAUGUGUACUUCCUUCUAUGACUUAGGAAUUUACCUGUUGUUGAAUUGGCACUGAUGAAUUUUAGUACAUGAUUAUGCAAUUCCCCUAAGGCUUGUAAAUAAAACUACUCAAUAUAUCCAUC